AACCCAUUGUUACAUUAUUAGACGGAAAGACCCCAAGAGCUUUUUUUGUGUUAGAUUUGUUUGGGGUAAAUGUAGAUUAUUCAUUUAUUUUUAGAUCCUUCAUGGAUAAAGGAUAAAGUUACCUUGGGGAUAACUGAGUAAAGGGCAGGGAGAGGUCCUAUUGAUCUGUUUAUUACUACCUCGAUGUUGGCUUGUUGAACCUUUUUGGUGUAGAGGCUGGAAAAGGAAGUCUGUUCGACUUUUAAAUCUUCAUGAGUUGAGUUAAGACCGGUGUAAGCCAGGUUGGUUCUUAUCUAUAAUUGGUUCUAGUUAGUACGAAAGGAUUAUUAGGAUACAGUGUUUCUGUACACAUAGGAAUAGAAAGUAUACA
rnacentral:rRNA from 1 species